rnacentral:sRNA from 4 species
AUUCUGCCCAUGCGGGGAAGGAUGAGAAGCUUCGACCAAGGUUCGACUCGAGCGCCAGCGAGAAAGCGUUGCCGCAGGCAACGACCCGAAGGGCGAAGCGCGCAGCGCUGAGUAAUCCUUCCCCCACCACCA